rnacentral:rRNA from 1 species
UACGUAGGGUGCGAGCGUUAAUCGGAAUUACUGGGCGUAAAGCGUGCGCAGGCGGUUUUGUAAGCCAGAUGUGAAAUCCCCGGGCUUAACCUGGGAAUGGCAUUUGGGACUGCAAGGCUGGAGUGUGGCAGAGGAGACUGGAAUUCCCGGUGUAGCAGUGAAAUGCGUAGAUAUCGGGAGGAAUACCGAUGGCGAAGGCAGGUCUCUGGGAAGUAACUGACGCUGAGAAGCGAAAGCGUGGGUAGCGAACAGG